UAAAGAAUUUCGGUCAUCGAUGGGGAUGCGUUCCAUUAGCUUGUUGGCGGGGUAACGGCCCACCAAGGCAUCGAUGGAUAGGGGUUCUGAGAGGAAGGUCCCCCACAUUGGAACUGAGACACGGUCCAAACUCCUACGGGAGGCAGCAGUGAGGAAUAUUGGUCAAUGGGCGCUAGCCUGAACCAGCCAAGUAGCGUGAAGGAUGACUGCCCUAUGGGUUGUAAACUUCUUUUAUAUGGGAAUAAAGUGCAGUAUGUAUACUGCUUUGCAUGUACCUUAUGAAUAAGGAUCGGCUAACUCCGUGCCAGCAGCCGCGGUAAUACGGAGGAUCCGAGCGUUAUCCGGAUUUAUUGGGUUUAAAGGGAGCGUAGGCGGGUUGUUAAGUCAGUUGUGUAAGUUUGCGGCUCAACCGUAAAAUUGCAGUUGAUACUGGCAUCCUUGAGUACAGUAGAGGUAGGCGGAAUUCGUGGUGUAGCGGUGAAAUGCUUAGAUAUCACGAAGAACUCCGAUUGCGAAGGCAGCCUGCUGGACUGUAACUGACGCUGAUGCUCGAAAGUGUGGGUAUCAAACAGGAUUAGAUACCCUGGUAGUCCACACAGUAAACGAUGAAUACUCGCUGUUUGCGAUAUACAGUAA
rnacentral:rRNA from 1 species